rnacentral:rRNA from 1 species
AUUGAACGCUAGCGGGAUGCCUUACACAUGCAAGUCGAACGGAGUGGCGAACGGGUGCGUAAUGUAUCGGUACGUGCCCAUUCGCGGGGGAUAACUACGCGACAUCGUCGCUAAUACCGCAUACUAUUGGAGCGGCCGCUAUCGGAUUAGGUAGUUGGUGGGGUAAAGGCUCACCAAGGCGACGAUCCGUAGCUGGUUUGAGAGGACGACCAGCCACACUGGGACGGAGACACGGCCCAGACGCCUACGGGAGGCAGCAGUGGGGAAUUUUGGACAAUGGGGGAAACCCUGAUGCAGCCAUCCCGCGUGUACGAUGAAGGCCUUCGGGUUGUAAAGCACUUUCAGCGGGGAGGCGUUACCCGCAGAAGAAGCACCGGCUAACUCCGUGCCAGCAGCCGCGGUAAUAC